rnacentral:rRNA from 1 species
UACGUAGGCAGCAAGCGUUGUUCGGAGUUACUGGGCGUAAAGGGUGCGUAGGCGGCUUGGUAAGUGUGGUGUGGAAUCUCCCGGCUCAACUGGGAGGGUGCGCUACAAACUGCCGGGCUAGAGUGCGGGAGAGGUGAGUGGAACUGCGAGUGUAGAGGUGAAAUUCGUAGAUAUUCGCAAGAACACCAGUGGCGAAGGCGGCUC